ACAGCAGUAGCCGCGGGAAUACGGAGGGUGCAAGCGUUAAUCGGAAUUACUGGGCGUAAAGCGCACGCAGGCGGUCUGUCAAGUCGGAUGUGAAAUCCCCGGGCUUAACCUGGGAACUGCAUUUGUGACUGGCGGGCUAGAGUAUGGCAGAGGGGGGUAGAAUUCCACGUGUAGCAGUGAAAUGCGUAGAGAUGUGGAGGAAUACCGAUGGCGAAGGCAGCCCCCUGGGCCAAUACUGACGCUCAUGCACGAAAGCGUGGGGAGCAAACAGGAUUAGAUACCCCUGUAGUCCCUGUCUCUUAUAC
rnacentral:rRNA from 1 species